UACGUAGGGAGCAAGCGUUGUCCGGAAUCAUUGGGCGUAAAGCGCGCGUAGGUGGCUUCGUAAGUCCGUUGUGAAAGUCAAAGGCUCAACCUUUGAAAGCCGAUGGAUACUGUGAAGCUAGAGUACGGAAGAGGCGAGUGGAAUUCCUGGUGUAGCGGAGGAAUGCGCAGAUAUCAGGAGGAACACCAAUUGCGAAGGCAGCUCGCUGGGACGUUACUGACGCUGAGACGCGAAAGCGUGGGGAGCGAACAGG
rnacentral:rRNA from 1 species